rnacentral:rRNA from 1 species
AUUGAACGCUGGCGGCAGGCUUAACACAUGCAAGUCGAGCGGGGGAAGGUAGCUUGCUACCGGACCUAGCGGCGGACGGGUGAGUAAUGCUUAGGAAUCUGCCUAUUAGUGGGGGACAACAUCUCGAAAGGGAUGCUAAUACCGCAUACGUCCUACGGGAGAAAGCAGGGGAACUUCGGACCUUGCGCUAAUAGAUGAGCCUAAGUCGGAUUAGCUAGUUGGUGGGGUAAAGGCCUACCAAGGCGACGAUCUGUAGCGGGUCUGAGAGGAUGAUCCGCCACACUGGGACUGAGACACGGCCCAGACUCCUACGGGAGGCAGCAGUGGGGAAUAUUGGACAAUGGGGGGAACCCUGAUCCAGCCAUGCCGCGUGUGUGAAGAAGGCCUUAUGGUUGUAAAGCACUUUAAGCGAGGAGGAGGCUACUCUAGUUAAUACCUAGGGAUAGUGGACGUUACACGCAGAAUAAGCACCGGCUAACUCUGUGCCAGCCGCCGCCGUAAUAC